rnacentral:rRNA from 1 species
CCUACGGGUGGCAGCAGUGGGGAAUAUUGCACAAUGGGGGCAACCCUGAUGCAGCGACGCCGCGUGAGUGAAGAAGUAUUUCGGUAUGUAAAGCUCUAUCAGCAGGGAAGAAAAUGACGGUACCUGAUUAAGAAGCCCCGUCUAACUACGGGCCAGCAGCCGCGUUAAUACGUAGGGGGCCACCGUUAUCCGGAUUUACUGGGGUUAAAGGGCGCGUAUACGGCAGCAUAAGUCUGGAGUGAAAUGCCGGGGCUUAACCCCGGAACUGCUGUGGAAACUGUGCAGCUAGAGUGCAGGAGAGGUAAGUGGAAUUCGUAGUGUAGCGGUGAAAUGCGUAGAUAUUAGGAGGAACACCAGUGGCGAAGGCGGCUUACUGGACUGUAACUGACGUUGAGGCUCGAAAGCGUGGGGAGCAAACAGGAGUAGAUACCCGUGUAGUC